UACGGGGGGGGGCAAGCGUUGUUCGGAAUUACUGGGCGUAAAGGGCUCGUAGGCGGCCAACUAAGUCAGACGUGAAAUCCCUCGGCUUAACCGGGGAACUGCGUCUGAUACUGGAUGGCUUGAGUUUGGGAGAGGGAUGCGGAAUUCCAGGUGUAGCGGUGAAAUGCGUAGAUAUCUGGAGGAACACCGGUGGCGAAGGCGGCAUCCUGGACCAACACUGACGCUGAGGAGCGAAAGCCAGGGGGAGCAAACGGG
rnacentral:rRNA from 1 species